CCCUUUCAGAGGCCGCAAGAGGAGAAAUAUCCCGUGGGACCAUGGCUGUUGGCACUGUUUGUUUUUGUUGUCUGUGGCUCAGCCAUCUUCCAGAUCAUUCAGAGCAUACGGAUGGGCAUGUGAGAGGGCCAGGGCAUGACACCGCCUCCCUCCUGCUGGAGGGUGGACCGCGGAAGCGACUGGCCAGUGUCUGCGGGAAGCAAACAGGCCGCGCGGAAUAGAGAAAGAAGCCCCCCAACUGUCCCCUGCUCACUUCAUCGUGGAUGUCAGACCACAUUGCCUUCUCACAGGACAUCUUGGUGCAUCCGUGUCCUCAAGCGGAAAGGACAUUUUGCUUUUCUGUUGGCCGGAUUGGUAGCCACGCGGGUGUCCACAGCAGGGCCGUCUUUUGGGUUUUCCCUUGGUCUCACUAAUGUGUGCAUGUGGCCCUCUCGGUGAUCCCAGGUUUACUUUCUACAGAUACAAUCUCUCCUCCAUUGGGAAUUGGUUUUACAAAUAAAUGUCUUUGUUCAACCUGA